AGUGAACGCUGGCGGCAGGCCUAACACAUGCGAGUCGAGCGGCAGCGGGUCCUUCGGGAUGCCGGCGAGCGGCGGACGGGUGAGGAAUACAUCGGAAUCUGCCCUGUCGUGGGGGAUAACCUAGGGAAACUUAGGCUAAUACCGCAUACGACCUACGGGUGAAAGCGGGGGAUCGCAAGACCUCGCGCGACAGGAUGAGCCGAUGUCCGAUUAGCUAGUUGGCGGGGUAAAGGCCCACCAAGGCGACGAUCGGUAGCUGGUCUGAGAGGAUGAUCAGCCACACUGGGACUGAGACACGGCCCAGACUCCUACGGGAGGCAGCAGUGGGGAAUAUUGGACAAUGGGCGCAAGCCUGAUCCAGCCAUGCCGCGUGGGUGAAGAAGGCCUUCGGGUUGUAAAGCCCUUUUGUCCGGGAAGAAAUCGUCUGGGCUAAUACCCCGGGCGGAUGACGGUACCGGAAGAAUAAGCACCGGCUAACUUCGUG
rnacentral:rRNA from 1 species